AUUGAACGCUGGCGGCAGGCCUAACACAUGCAAGUCGAACGGUAGCACAGAGAGCUUGCUCUCGGGUGACGAGUGGCGGACGGGUGAGUAAUGUCUGGGAAACUGCCCGAUGGAGGGGGAUAACUACUGGAAACGGUAGCUAAUACCGCAUAACGUCGCAAGACCAAAGUGGGGGACCUUCGGGCCUCACACCAGCGGAUGUGCCCAGAUGGGAUUAGCUAGUAGGUGGGGUAAUGGCUCACCUAGGCGACGAUCCCUAGCUGGUCUGAGAGGAUGACCAGCCACACUGGAACUGAGACACGGUCCAGACUCCUACGGGAGGCAGCAGUGGGGAAUAUUGCACAAUGGGCGCAAGCCUGAUGCAGCCAUGCCGCGUGUAUGAAGAAGGCCUUCGGGUUGUAAAGUACUUUCAGCGGGGAGGAAGGCGGUGAAGUUAAUAGCUUCACCGAUUGACGUUACACGCAGAAGAAGCACCGGCUAACUCCGUGCCAGCCGCCGCCGUAA
rnacentral:rRNA from 1 species